rnacentral:rRNA from 1 species
CACGUAGGGCGCAAGCGUUGUCCGGAAUUAUUGGGCGUAAAGAGCUCGUAGGUGGUUUGUUACGUCCGCUGUGAAAUCCUAGGGCUUAACCCUGGGCUUGCAGUGGAUACGGGCAGACUAGAGGUAGGUAGGGGAGAAUGGAAUUCCUGGUGUAGCGGUGAAAUGCGCAGAUAUCGAGAGGAACACCUGCGUCGAAGGCGGGUUGCUGGGCUGACACUGACGCUGAUGCGCGAAAGCCAGGGGAGCGAACGGG